GUUAACUGAUGUUCUAACAAUCCCUCAUUUUUGAAAUCUCAACUCAAAAAUAAAAUAAUAGACAUGUUUCAGCUGUGUGACAAAUUAAUGCCAGUGAAUACAAAAGCACAUUUACCGAGAUACCCAAAAUCCUGUUGAUUAUUGGAUUUGGUUCAUACAAGAUUUUUUGGUAUCUCUGUUUGUUUGUUUGUAUUCACCAGCACUUUACCUUGCUGAUGGUCUAUUCUGUCAGUGCUGGGAAACUUCACGAGUGCAUCGCUUGCCUGAUCUUGAGAAAAAAUAACAGCAUUUCUGAAGAAUGAGCUGGAAAAGUUUAAGAAAAUAUUAAAUAGAGAGAACACACAGUACUUUGUGCAGGACUUUACAGAGAAAAUGCAUGAUAUCAAAGAAGCAGCUCUUGAUAUCACACUCUUUUUCCUGAGAGAUAUGAAGCAAUAUAAGGCUGCAGAUGCUCUACAAGAUGAGCUGGUCCUCAUUCAUCAGCG